rnacentral:rRNA from 1 species
AUUGAACGCUGGCGGCGUGCCUAAUACAUGCAAGUCGAACGCAGUGGGGACGGGUGAGUAACACGUGGGUAACCUCCCAUCAGAGGGGAAAACACUUGGAAACAGGUGCUAAACCGAUACUGAUGGAUGGACCCGCGGUGCAUUAGCGAGUUGGUACGGUAACGGCUCACCAAGGCAACGAUGCAUAGCUGACCUGAGCGGGGGACCGUCCACAAGGGGACUGAGACACUGCCCAGACCCCUACGGGAGGCAGCAGUAGGGAAUCUUCGGCAAUGGACGAAAGUCUGACCGAGCAACGCCGCGUGAGUGUAGAAGGUUGUCGGAUCGUAAAACUCUGUUGUUAGAGAAGCGGUAUCUAACCAGAAAGCCACGGCUAACUACGUGCCAGCAGCCGCGGUAAUUC